GGAUGCGAUCAUACCAGCACUAAAGCACCGGAUCCCAUCAGAACUCCGAAGUUAAGCGUGCUUGGACGAGAGUAGUACUAGGAUGGGUGACCUCCUGGGAAGUCCUCGUGUUGCAUUCC
rnacentral:rRNA from 2 species